rnacentral:rRNA from 1 species
GAUGAACGCUAGCGGCAGGCCUAAUACAUGCAAGUCGGACGGGAUUCAGGAGCUUGCUUCUGAUGAGAGUGGCGCACGGGUGCGUAACACGUAUGUAACCUACCUUUAUCAGGGGGAUAGCCUCUCGAAAGAGAGAUUAAGCCCGCAUAAAAUCACAGCACAGCAUUGUGUAAUGAUCAAAUAUUUAUAGGAUAAAGAUGGGCAUGCGGAACAUUAGCUAGAUGGCGGGGUAACGGCCCACCAUGGCGACGAUGUUUAGGGGAUCUGAGAGGAUGGCCCCCCACACGGGUACUGAGACACGGACCAGACUCCUACGGGAGGCAGCAGUAAGGAAUAUUGGUCAAUGGGCGGAAGCCUGAACCAGCCAUGCCGCGUGCAGGAAGACGGCCCUACGGGUUGUAAACUGCUUUUAGACGGGAAUAAACCCAGAUACGUGUAUCUGGCUGAAUGUACUGUAAGAAUAAGGAUCGGCUAACUCCGUG